AACAGUUUCAUUUCCGGAGCCACCGGAAGCAGCUUGCAAAUGGCGUCUCCCUCGCUGGAGCGGCCAGAAAAAGGGGCUGGAAAAAGUGAAUAUCGUAACCAGAAGCCGAAGCCGGAGAACCAAGAUGAAUCAGAACUCCUUACGGUUCCUGAUGGUUGGAAGGAACCAGCUUUUUCCAAAGAGGACAAUCCCAGAGGACUUUUGGAGGAGAGCAGUUUCGCAACUUUGUUCCCAAAAUACAGGGAAGCUUACUUGAAAGAGUGUUGGCCAUUGGUGCAGAAAGCCUUAAAUGAACAUCAUGUUAAUGCAACCCUGGACCUGAUCGAAGGCAGCAUGACUGUUUGUACUACAAAGAAGACUUUUGAUCCAUAUAUCAUCAUUAGGGCCAGAGAUCUGAUAAAACUGUUAGCAAGGAGUGUUUCAUUUGAACAGGUAAAUCUAGAAUUACAGAGACUUUGCUUUGUUUGCAUCAGUGUUAACCUAUAACAUCCCACCAUCAAGUUUUCUAUUUGUGCUUAGGUAACAAUAGCGUGGGCCUGGAAAAUGAAUGUAAUUGUAAAAAAUGUUGAUAAUGUCUUCUUUUUUUUUUUUUUUUUUUUGCAAAAGGCAGUACGAAUUCUUCAGGAUGAUGUUGCAUGUGACAUCAUUAAAAUAGGUUCUUUAGUAAGGAAUAAAGAGAGAUUUGUAAAACGAAGA
rnacentral:sRNA from 1 species